UUUUCUUCAUUAUGGCCGGCCAAAGCAUGAAGUGAAGAAGAACAAAGAAAGAACAAAACCUAGGUGGGAAAAUUGAAGAAAAAGUGUGGGAUUUCAAGGUAUUAAGCUAAUAAAGGUAAAUUUUUGUGAUUUUAUCUUGUGGUUUACACUACCUAUGCUUUCUUUUUCAUUUUCCAUGCUUAGAACUCAAGUUUUCAUGGUGAAUUCAUGCCUGACCAAAUGGGUAUGGAGAGAGAACGAAGUUGGAUUGAUUUGAUUCUAAGUUAUGUUAGUGUUUUUAGUUAGUUUAGCAUAUUUAGAAACAAAACAACAAGAAAAAAAAUUCAUUUUCUCCCAUUACCCAUAAGAGGCCGAAUUUUCUAGGGAGGAUAUUGAGGCUGAAAUUGAUGAUAUUUCAUGAUAUUUUGGUGAUAUUUAAUGAUUGGUGAGGCUAGAAAUUUAAUAGAAAAUUUUGGCAUGAAAAUCUGAAUUUUGACCUAAUGUAUAGACAUGUGCGAUUUAUCAUUCAGACUGAUAAAUUGAAUCAAAUUGUGAGACCUUGUCAAGCUCGAUUAAAAGACAAUAUUGUACUGAGUGGUACAACUAAGUUAAAUUGAACCUUCAACUAGUUCAAAUAGGAAUUCUAAGAGGAAAUUGAAAAUUUUGAAACCCACAGAAUAGCUUAGAAUAGUGAUUCGGAGUUCAAGGUUCAGUUUCGAGUCCAUCAGGAAAAUUGAUCGAUUAGGGACAAAACGGUUAUUUUAGCAUUUGAUAAUAAAAUGGAGAUUUUUAGCCAAGAUUUUAUCACAUUUGACCAAGAAUAAUUAUAUGAAAUAUAAUUAUGAUUAUUGGAGUAUAAAAUGAUGUUUAGUAGUGAAAAAUUAUGAUUCUCGGUAUUUUUGGAGCACAAGGGUAAAAUGGUAAUUUUGUCACUAAAGGACUAAACGAUAAUUUUUAUAAAAUGAUUUUUGCCCCAUUUAGUUAAUAUUGAUCAAUAUUAGUGUUAUUUGAGGUUGAAAAGUAGAAAUAAUGUGAUUCCGGUACAUUUCGAAGUAUAGGGGCAAAAUCGUAAUUUUUUCAUCUCGGGGGCAAAUCGGUAAAUUUUUCGUCCCAACACUUGUCAAGACCAAGGGAUUUUAAUUGUGGUAGGAUUGGAUAAAUACCAGAAUAUUUGUGGUGGAAAAUUAAGAAGAAAAAGUUAAAAAGUUAAAAAAAUUGGGCCAAUAAGCAUGUGACACGUGGCAUGCUUAAUUAUUUUAUUAUUUUCUAUAGAAAUCAGCCCAUUAAAUCCCCAAUUCUCUCACCAUAAUCAGCCUAGGCAACCAGCAACAAGAGCAAAGGAAGAACAAAGGGAAAAACAANGAAGAGGGGAAAGCUCAAUCCAAGAUACAUUGGACCCUUUCGUAUCAUUGAAAUGAUUGGGCCAGUGGCUUACAGACUUGAAUUACCCCUGGAGUUAGAUCGGAUUCAUAAUGUCUUCCAUGUCUCAAUGUUGAAAAAGUAUGUUUCUGAUCCCUCUCACAUUCUAGAGACACCUCCCAUUGAGUUGCAUGAAGAUUUGAAGUUCGAGGUGCAGCCUGUACGUAUUCUAGAUCGAAAGGAUCGAGUGCUAAGGAACAAGAGUAUUCCAAUGGUGAAAGUAUUGUGGAAAAAUGCUCGAAUGGAAGAGAUGACGUGGGAAGUCGAGCGCUAGAUGAGAAAACAAUAUCCACAUCUUUUCUUAGAAUCCGGUAAGUGAAAUUUUGAGGUCAAAAUUUUAUUUUUAAGGGGGGUAGUGCUGUAAAGCCUAACCUUAUAAAAUGCUUGUCAUGACAUACAUGUGAUGAUAGCAUGAUUGUAUGCUAAGAGAGUCCCAAAAAAUUUACAAAAGUAGGUAUUGUACCUAGAGGUACAACAAAGAUGAUUUAAGCCUCGAACCAGAUCAAAUAGGAAUUUUAAGGUGAGAUUAAGAGCUUCACAAUCCAUGGAUGACUCAAAAUGGUAAUUCGGAGUUUGAGGAUCAAUUUGGAGUCAAACCAGAAUUUUCACUGCCAGAGACAAAAUGGUCAUUUGCCACCUAGGGACAAAAUGAAAAUUUUUAGAAAAGAUGUUUUUUGCCCCAUUUGACCUAUUGGAGUAUGAUUUGAGCAUAGGAGUAUGAUUUGAGGUUGAAAAGUGAAAAAAAAAAUUGUGAUUUCGGUAUUUUUUGGAGCAAAGGGUAAAAUGGUAAUUUUGCCAUUUCAGGGGCAAAAUUACCAUUUUACACACCCGACACUUGUCCAGCACAUGGAUUUUAUCCAAUUUUAUCAUGGAUAAUUGAAGGGAUUUAUAUGGUGGAGAGAGAAAGCUUAAUAGUUAAGAAAUAAAAAUGGGCCAAUGAAAUGGUGACACAUGGCAUGUUAAUAUCCAUUUACUUUUUUUAGCUUUAAAAUCAACAAAAAUAAGCAUAUUUUCUUCAUUAUGGCCGGCCAAAGCAUGAAGUGAAGAAGAACAAAGAAAGAACAAAACCUAGGUGGGAAAAUUGAAGAAAAAGUGUGGGAUUUCAAGGUAUUAAGCUAAUAAAGGUAAAUUUUUGUGAUUUUAUCUUGUGGUUUACACUACCUAUGCUUUCUUUUUCAUUUUCCAUGCUUAGAACUCAAGUUUUCAUGGUGAAUUCAUGCCUGACCAAAUGGGUAUGGAGAGAGAACGAAGUUGGAUUGAUUUGAUUCUAAGUUAUGUUAGUGUUUUUAGUUAGUUUAGCAUAUUUAGAAACAAAACAACAAGAAAAAAAAUUCAUUUUCUCCCAUUACCCAUAAGAGGCCGAAUUUUCUAGGGAGGAUAUUGAGGCUGAAAUUGAUGAUAUUUCAUGAUAUUUUGGUGAUAUUUAAUGAUUGGUGAGGCUAGAAAUUUAAUAGAAAAUUUUGGCAUGAAAAUCUGAAUUUUGACCUAAUGUAUAGACAUGUGCGAUUUAUCAUUCAGACUGAUAAAUUGAAUCAAAUUGUGAGACCUUGUCAAGCUCGAUUAAAAGACAAUAUUGUACUGAGUGGUACAACUAAGUUAAAUUGAACCUUCAACUAGUUCAAAUAGGAAUUCUAAGAGGAAAUUGAAAAUUUUGAAACCCACAGAAUAGCUUAGAAUAGUGAUUCGGAGUUCAAGGUUCAGUUUCGAGUCCAUCAGGAAAAUUGAUCGAUUAGGGACAAAACGGUUAUUUUAGCAUUUGAUAAUAAAAUGGAGAUUUUUAGCCAAGAUUUUAUCACAUUUGACCAAGAAUAAUUAUAUGAAAUAUAAUUAUGAUUAUUGGAGUAUAAAAUGAUGUUUAGUAGUGAAAAAUUAUGAUUCUCGGUAUUUUUGGAGCACAAGGGUAAAAUGGUAAUUUUGUCACUAAAGGACUAAACGAUAAUUUUUAUAAAAUGAUUUUUGCCCCAUUUAGUUAAUAUUGAUCAAUAUUAGUGUUAUUUGAGGUUGAAAAGUAGAAAUAAUGUGAUUCCGGUACAUUUCGAAGUAUAGGGGCAAAAUCGUAAUUUUUUCAUCUCGGGGGCAAAUCGGUAAAUUUUUCGUCCCAACACUUGUCAAGACCAAGGGAUUUUAAUUGUGGUAGGAUUGGAUAAAUACCAGAAUAUUUGUGGUGGAAAAUUAAGAAGAAAAAGUUAAAAAGUUAAAAAAAUUGGGCCAAUAAGCAUGUGACACGUGGCAUGCUUAAUUAUUUUAUUAUUUUCUAUAGAAAUCAGCCCAUUAAAUCCCCAAUUCUCUCACCAUAAUCAGCCUAGGCAACCAGCAACAAGAGCAAAGGAAGAACAAAGGGAAAAACAAGAAAACCUAGGUGAAAAUUCAAAGAAAAAGUGAAGAAAUCAAGGAAACAAGCUAGGUAAGUUAGAAUUUCUUUAAUUCUCCUUGAUACCUAGCUUAUCCAUGCUUUUGUUCUUGAUUUCGAUGGUUGAAUAUUGAGUUAUCAUGAUGAAUUCAAUUCUGAAAAAUGGUUAUGGAAGAGGAAUUGUUGUUGGAAUAAUUUGAUUUUAGACUAAGUUAGUGUUUAGGGAUAGUUAAGCAUGGUUAUGAACAAAAACACAAAAGAAAUAUUCAAUUUCUCUAGGGUUCCUUGUUGGUCGAACCAUGAGGGCUGAAUAUCAAUGGGGGAUUGUUUUUAUUUCAAGGAAAAUGGCUUGGAAAAUGAUGAAUUAAGGUGAAACAGUUAUGUAGAAAAAAUUUUGGUGCUAGUUCACCAAAUGACCGAAUUUUUUUAUAAGGAACUGUGAGGGUUCUAAUGCUGAAUUUGGCUUUAUUUAAAUGGUAUGUGGUAAAUGAAGGUAUUAGAGGAGAAAUGGAUUAAUUUGGAGGUGAUUUGGACACAAUCUCCAAUUAAUCGAUGAUUGGUCAAAUUUAAUCGAUACCGCGAUUAAGCGGUAAUCGAACGUAUUUUUGCAUUUACAUAUCAAGCAUUAGUAAUUUAAAUUAGUUUAUAUCAAUUUAGGGACAAUAUAGUAAAUUCCUUGACUUUGUUAUUUGUCAAGGUAGUGAGAUGUCUAAAAAAGGCAAAGGAAUUGCGCUUGAGGACUAUUAGUUUGAGUGCACCCAAAAUCCGGAUUUUCGAUAUGGGUGAUUGGACUUGCAUUUCAAACUUGUUGUGGGGAAUAUGAAAGAUUCUAUCCAACUUGUCUUAGAAAAUGUACCUUGGGAACAAGCUUUUGUUAAAUGGUUUGAUGUUGUGAUAUGUGAUUACUAUGGAUUCAUGCAUUAUUGCAAUAUGAUGAUAUAUAUAUGUGUGUGUUGUGCAUGAUAAAUGUUAUUGUGUAUAAUGACUAUAACCGUGUGUGUGGACGAUGUGGGAAGAAUUAAGUUGGUUUUACCUGAUCUUUGGGAACUCUAACAUGUGAACAGGGGUGAAGCGUGGCUCUCUGCCCAGGGGCUUAUAAAGGAAAAGGCUACCCAAAGAGGUGGAGCUGCCCUAUGAGUGCUUUGAUAGGUACUGUUUGUCGCCUCCAUAGUGAAGGGGUUGAGUGGUAUGUCCCUCCCUAGUGACAAACUUGGUAUCAGAUUCCCAUUUUAUGGUGGUGUGAAAGGUGGAUGAUGAUAGUGCCCGUGUGCACGAUGUGGGGGGAUGUACACGGUGGCACUGAUUGUGCACGAUGCAGGGGGAAGGACACGAUGUGCCGGCUAUGUGCACGAUGUGGGUGUGAUUAUGAUGAUAUUGAUGUUUGUCUAUCUAAUUAUGCAUAUCUAGACUUAUGAAAUGAAAGCUCAUAAAUGUGAUAUAUGGUUGACAUAUAUAUGAAAUUUGAUACUUUGCACUUUGGGAAUUUUCAUGAGUUUUUUGUUGAUUUUGUUGGUUUAGUAGGGUGGCCUUUUUGUUGAGUGAAGGGAAACUUUUCCCUUGUUGCUCUGUUUCGCUGCAGCGAGAAACUCUCGAGUCUGAGGGCCUUCACCAGAACUGGUUCUCGCUACAGCGAAAAACUUUCUAUCCAUUUUGCUAACUUGUGGGUUUUUGCCAUAUUUCCCAUUUCUUUGGUACCAUAGUUGAGCAUGGAUUUUUGUAAAGUGAUUUACUCAUGUGGGGUUUACAUGAGGGGUUUAAAGGAGCUAAAACAAUUGCAUGGUUUUGAGAAAAUGAAUGCAUCAUGAUUUCGAUAAACAUUCCUUAUGGUAUGCUUGUUCCCUUCUUGUUCACUCACUGAGUAUUGUACUCACGUUUUAUAAAAAAUUCAUGUUUUCAGAUCAAGUGACUGUUGGACCCUAGAUCGAGGAGUGCCCGUAGUGUAUCUCCUGGGUAUGUGUCUGGCAUUCGAUAGUAAUCCCUUUUAUUGUAAAUGUCUCCGCUGGAAGUCAUGGGUCCUUUUGUAUUGUGAAUACAAUCUAAUAAUGUGAAUAUGUGUAUUCAAUGUAAAUUGCUAAAUACAUGACUGGUAUAGUGCAUGUAUGUUAUUAUCGAUAAUGCCAUUGUGUUUUGGCUAUGUUCACACUUGGGAAAAGGUGUGUGUGUAUGCAUGAUAUGAUAAAUUUGUUAAGCAAAGGUAAAUGGAUAGGCUUGCUUGGGCUUAGUGAGCUAUGCUCAUUGAGCUCAUGCGUCGGUCAUGGCCCGAAAAAAUUGGGUCGUGACACAUAUUCAUAGUCAUUGAGGUGUUUUAAGUAUAAUUGGAGUGUAGAAAGUGAAAGAAAUCGAUUUGGAGUUAAAUUGGAGGUUUUAGCCAAUUAGACCGAGAAUAGUGCGAAUUAGGUCGAAUACCGUAUUUAAAUGGCUAUUCGGACAUUUUUGCAUUCCAUAUCAUCCAUUAGUAGUCUAAAUUAGUUUAAUUUCGAUUUAGUACCAAUGUAGUAACUUUCUUGAUUUUGUACUAUGUCUAGGUGGUGAAUCCUUCGAUAAAAGCAAGGAAAUUGUACCCGAGGAUCAGUAGUCAGAGUACUCUAGAAACUUGACUCCCGAAAUAGUGAGUAACCUUACUAUCAUUUUAAUUAUCUAAAGUAUGUUUUUAUAAGGUUUUGGUGAAUUUUAUGAAAAUGAGUUCAAAUGGUAAGUUUUUAUGUUUUGUAAACAAAAUGUGUUUAAAUGAAAAGAUUUUAUAAAUUGUCUUGAAACGAAAUAAUGCUUUUAAAAAUAGAGUAAUUGGAGACCACUGGUAUGUUGUAAAUUUAUGAUUGAAAAUUGAUGGCUUAUGUUAUAUUGUUAUUGUGUUGGCAUGACUGGCUAGGCUGUAUUUUAUGAGUUGUAUGAAUUGUUUUAUGUUACCCUUGCAGGCUGGGUAGUAUUAUAUUAGCCCUGUCAUGCUGUUAAAAUUUUAUUAUAUGGUGGGUUUAGCUUGCUGCAGUAGGCAGAUUCUGUGGACCAGCCUAUUAGAGGGGCACGGAACCCGGAUAUAUAUAUAUGUACCUUGGUCGGAGAGGCGCGUAAAGUAUCUCUUGAGGUAUCGAUAGAGUUCACGUCACGCUGAACCACCUCAUGAUGAUGAACUACGCUAACGCUAAGGAAUGGCUGUGUUUUUCAAACUAAAAAUAUGUUUACGUGUAUAUGAACUUUUUAACAGCCUUGGCGGACUUGGUUAGAUGCCUUGACCAAGGUAUCCCUGAGAAUGAUUUUGGCAAGAGCCAAACUUUUUAAGAUACUCAUAAGCCAUGUUGAAUAUUUAAAUGAAAUGAAUAUUUAUGUUAUGAAAUACAUAUUGAGAUGAAAUAUUUUAAUUGUCUCCUUUUACUCGACUUUAGAUAUUUCGGAUGAUGUUUGUUUACUCACUGUGAUUAUAAAAUCUCACCACUCUUCUUUCCACCCAUUUCAGGUUCAGAUUAGGCUGUAGAUAGCUGAGUUCAUCGAGGACUACCCUUGGAUUUGCAUUCCUUCAAACUGUAGGUUCACAGUCCUCUUUACUUUUGGUUAUUCGGGGGCCCACUGGUCAUUGUAAAUUAAAUUAAAUACUCUGGUUUACUGUAUUACAGUAUGUAUGAAUUUACUUUGCUUUUACGCUACAAAAAUUAUCUACGUAUAACUCUGAAAAUAUUGUUUAAUAAGAAAAUAGAAUAUUUUACUUAAUAUUUAUUUUAUUUUCUUAUUAUAUCCAAAUAAUCAUAAUUUCGUUUUAAACGAAUGUUUU
rnacentral:lncRNA from 1 species